UUACUCAUCUGAUUUCAAAAGCGACUAUUUACAUACUUUAGCUAUGCCAAUGAAUAGGUCUUAAUCAGAUCUCUAAGACAUAGGGAGAGUUUCCUUCGUUAUAACCCACCGCGGCCGUAACAUCAACAGCAUGCUUCCCUCGGCAACAUCAUUGGCUACGUGCUUAGUUCCUCAGUAUCGACAUCGUCACAUGAUAUUGCCUCCUACGAAUGCAUGAUGGUUAGAAGUACACCACCACCACCAAAUUAUUCCGUUCAAAUCCUGCAAAUUUUUGACAGUCUACUUGUCUCCUUGAUUAAUUACCUAGAUCUGAUGCCUUUUAUCAGUGGGAUUUGAAUGAUUAUUUAGCUAGCCCCCUUGAUUGAAGUUGUUGAAUGUUUGUUUCUUUGGAAUUCUACAGAGAAAAAGUGUGUGUACCUAUAAGCAAUACAGAAGACAUCUUUAUCAACGAAACCUAACUAAUGGAGAUAUGCAUCCCAUGAUAGUUUUUCGAAUCAAAAUACAGUUACAGUUGGGAACAUACAUGGUACAAGAUUAUGAACAGGAGAAUAAAAUCAAAUAGAAUAUCACAUGCAUGUCAACACAAUAUUUUAUUACUGUACAUCAUUUUCCAUUGUUUGACAUGAUGGUGAGUGCAAUUCGAUAUAGUCACUUAUCACAGACAACACACAUACAAGAGUUUACCAAAAUAUUAUCAGCAUGACAAUAUGAGUGAUCAAGGAGAUUCCGCCACUUCUGCUCGCAUGUUGCCUGGCAAGUAACAGGAAAACAAAUAAAAGGUUCCCAGAAUGCACGAUAGGUAUGGCAAUUCCCUGUUGACAAGAAAAUACGUUAGUAAGAGUUAUCCAAACUAAGAAACUUGUGAAAAUCUACUCCGCUUGGAGGGAUAAUGGAAACACCUAUAUAGGGACAUGGAGAUUGAUUUCUUACGAGCAUGGCCUGAAUUUCCUAGCAGCACAAGCACCGUAACGCAAAGAAGAAUAGUUUUCCCGUCCAUAUCUGAUUCUCGUUUCUGUUUGUUCCAGAAGCAUACAUGAUGUUAUCUUAUAGAGUUGUCGCUAGAGAACAUUUACUCCCCAUCCACUCAAAUAUAAUAAAAAAAAGAUUUGGCCAUAUCAUCUAUCUAUAUCUAUAUCUAUCUAUCUAUCUAUAUCAAUAUCUAUACUUCUAUUUCUAUAGCUAUAUACUUAUAUACUUACUUAUACUAAUUAUAGACUCCCAAGAAAUUCUCAUGUUAAUCAGAAAUAAUGAACCGUUUAUCUGGUCGCAUGGAUAAACAUUACGUUCUAGAUCAAUCUAUAAACUUCUCGGUAAAAAAAAGUCAAAAAGGCCCAUAAUAUUGAAUUGAAAAAUAUGAACCAUUGAUUUGGCCUAGGCUAUUACAACUCAGAUCAAAUAAAAUCAUGCAACUCUUAUUUUUGUGCAAUUAGAUAACGUACAAGAGAUGAACUUUCUUUCCCCGCAGGUCAAAAAUGUAAAAAUUUACCCAUCCUUGUACAUGUAGAAGAAGAAACACAAAUUAACGUUAUCUCUCUUCAAAAUAAUAAUCAGCCGUCCUAUCUUCUCCUAAAAACGUCCAACACACAAAUGUCCAUUCCGAUAGUUUAAAGGAAGUACGGGAUUCGGCUCACCUGCAAUAUAAUGUGCAGGGCCAAUACAUGAGUGACACGUGUCCUUGUGGCCUGCAGCUCCAAUUAAGUUCAAUUUAUUUGUUUCUUCCUGCUUCGCAACCUGGCGUCUGAGGGAAGGAAAUACGAG
rnacentral:lncRNA from 1 species